rnacentral:rRNA from 1 species
AGCAGUAGCCGCGGUAAUACGGAGGGUGCAAGCGUUAAUCGGAAUUACUGGGCGUAAAGCGCACGCAGGCGGUCUGACAAGUCAGAUGUGAAAUCCCCGGGCUUAACCUGGGAACUGCAUUUGAAACUGUCAGGCUGGAGUCUUGUAGAGGGGGGUAGAAUUCCAGGUGUAGCGGUGAAAUGCGUAGAGAUCUGGAGGAAUACCGGUGGCGAAGGCGGCCCCCUGGACAAAGACUGACGCUCAGGUGCGAAAGCGUGGGGAGCAAACAGGAUUAGAGACCCCUGUAGUCCCUGUCUCUUAUAC